rnacentral:sRNA from 2 species
UCGAAAGACAUUCAUUCAAGAGAUUCUAACGUGAUAUCGUAAAUAGCUGGAAUUGUAGAUAUUUACAAUGACAUAGAUCAUUUUUCUUCGACGAAAUUACGGCCUAAUGUCGAGACAAGAAUAAUAUGACGCUGAUCUGUGUUUUGACAAGAAUAUGAAUGAUCUUAAGAAAAGGUUUCGCUGAAUCAAUUGGAAGACAGCGUCUUCAAUUGUCCUACUAAAUUCUUUACAGAUGACAUCUGGGUCUGGGGAGAUCAUGCAAAAAAAUAAGACAUCAUUUAUAACUUUCAACCUUCCGCUCACAGGACAAAUUCUCGAAGACGCUACGGAAAGAUGCUGAGCUUGAUCAUAAUUCUUCAGGCUCCCAAUUCAAGAAUACAAUUACUUAGCGUGGGUGCUUCUGCUCAGUCUUCGUUUCCUAUCUCCACAUACCAAUCACUCGUUUGUUACUAAUUCGAAUAAUUUACUGCUGUAAGGAGUCGUACCGCCAACUAAAUCUGAAUAACAAUUUGGCUGCUAGAAGUUAAAAAGUAGGCGCUGCAAUGAUUAUGUGGUAUGAUCAGAUUGUGUCGCAACGCUCAGCGGGGUUUUGGCUCAAUGGGACCGCUGCUAAUAAAACGUUUAACUAGCGAAUUUUGGAACACACCCGUUGACAAAAGUAUAAGGAGUCUCUUUCCGUGAGUUCCCCUCUUCCUCUCACUGCACUUCAACUAUGCCUUAUAGCAACCAAGAAGCUAGAAAAUGCCAACUAUUAAAAAGAUAACCUCUUUGGAAGCAAAUAAAACGGAGAUUAUCUUGGGAUCUAUUUCACAAAUUUACGGCUAAUUGGAAUGAACAGCGCCAAGUAGCACUAGACAAACUGCAGAGAGUAUUAGAACUUGCUUUAUUCCGUAUAUCGUACUUUAGGUCGUCAGUUUUACCACUUCGGUACGCAAAUGAAAAUAAAAAGCUCAUUCACAACUUAGACACAAUUUCGCCGUUUACAAGUAGCUGAAAAGUCCACCUAUCGAAUUAUGAAUGAUACUAUUUUAAAUAUAGUCGUUGCUGCACUCGUUUUCCAUGUUCUUUUUAUCCACACAUCCGAUGUUUUACUUACAGUUGAGCAUCUCAGGGCCAGCGACAAAUAUAAACAUAUUAUACUCAAAAUGAAGCUCGUUGAAAAGAGAAUAUUUCUUAACCUCUUUUACAGUGUUUUCAACACCUUUUCAUCUGUGUGCCAUGUCAGAUUAAGGAUGCUCAACUUUUCGAAUUAUUAUUACAAAUUUCAAAGAAAUUACUAGUCCUUUCUGUCCCCUAAUGUAUCCCUCAUUUCAUACCGUCGUUUUGGGGUUCCAACUACGUAUAGCUUUCAAGUGUGGUUUUACGGUAAGAACAACCCCCCAUCGGUUAGUGCGGAAUACUUUCCUAUUCUCAUCGAGAGCCGAGCCAUACACCUAAGGUGGACAGAAAGCUAAAAUUCCAAAACAGAAAAAUCUAACAUCUUUGCUCCCUUACAAGUAGGAACGCUAGCGUAUCAACCCAUCUCCAGAUUUGCCCAGCAUUUCUGUAGAACACCCAAUGCGAAUGAAGACUAAUGAAUAUUGUAAAGACAAAAAAUAGGAAAAGUUUAAUUGGUGAUGGUUCUCACCACCCCAAAACGGUCACUUGCAUGCAUUGAGGACAUGCACCUGCAGUACUUGUUUUUCUCGAAUGUUUUUUACCAUCUCUUUUUUCCUUAUCUGAGCUGCUGACGCAGACGGACAUUGUUUCAUAUUUCGGAGGCUGUGCGGGAAAACGGACUCUAACACGAAUGUGAAUGCGCUAAUCGGUAUUUCCACCACAUGAAACCUGCUACUUUUUCAGUCCUCUUCGUAUGCAUUUCCCAAAAUUCAUUCGUAGCCUUGUCAACUUAGACUCUGUUCCACGGCGUGCAGAACAGGGUAUUAUGAAUAAAAGGAUCCACGGGUGAGAUUUGUUCUAUGUUUUAGGUAUGGAGUUUUGUACCACAAAACUUUAGGAAUACCGGAUUGUGUGCCUACGCCAGCCCCAGAGUAUGUUCUCACAGCUGUAAUUCCUAGUGAUCUUUUCCUGGCUCCAAUAGGAACGCCGGUAGGCAAAUUAAACUUUCGCGGCAGGAAAAAAAAGGCUUUUCUUUUUUUGCCUUUCAGUUUCUCGGAAUGUGGCAUUACAUAAGCAUAAUCCUUUUUGGGUGUGCCUGGAAAGUUCAAAUUAAGGGUUUUUUCUUCUGUUUUCUUGACAAGAAAAUGUCGCCCAAAGAGUUUCGGCCGUUAUUUCCUAUCGAAGUGGGUCCUUUUUGUCUUUAGUCCUUCUCUGGGGCCAGCGAUCACUGCAAAAAUUAGGCUUUACUGGUACGAGUUAACUUUUUUUCCUUUUUUUUUUUAUCCUUUUCUUUGGGGCUAAGAAUGGACUUCCCUUUUCUUUUUCUUUGUUGCAGCAGUGGCUUCAAAGAACUGCUGAUUGCUCAAGGCAAUCAGUCCGAGCGUUUAGAAGGUGAUUGUAGGCAGAAAUUAACUUUGCGGUAAAAGAAUGACAUUCUUUCUUAAAAGAAAAAUUAGCUUUUUUUUGUCAGGCAUUGCACAAACUUUUUUAUUUCUGCCUAUACUCUUAAACAGAUCAGUCAUUCAUGUUGUCUUUUUAACGGUCGUACUGGGACAUCGCAUGCCUUGGGAUUCCGUAAUUAGGUGCAACAAUACGGGUGCACAACUCAUUCUGCGCUAUCUUCACGGACAGAACUUCUAUUGCCUAUCGGUGGUGUGAUUAACAAUUGGAAGCGCAGAGCUUGGAAUGGAUUUUCAAUUCAAUGGAUUUGGAGGUAUUCGUUUGUUUACUAAUAUUUACUUUGAGGACAUUGCCCAACCCUAAAAGUGCCUGUUCCAGAAUAGAAUAACAUUACGAUACGUUUUCUUGACCGCUGAGCAAUUUAAAGCAACUAUUAGGGUACGAUUGUUUCUAGAGAAAUGUGGGUCAUCUUUUUAGGUCCGUUCUCUUCUGAUGAGGUAACCUUUACAAAAAUGUCAUAGAGUUACCAAUUGGGAUUCAAGGCAUCAUCGCAAUAUACUUCGUUCUUUUACGGAGAAAUUAAGCUCUUUCCACUUUGAAUUAACUGUUAGACUUGUCUUAUCUGAGGAAUGUCCGUGUUCAAAUUAAAUAAAAAUUUAGGGCAGUUUUAUUUACCUUAACAAAUAUGUUCAAGCAUGUAGGU